GCAUCUCAUUUCAACACUUUCACUCAAAACCAAGUUUGCAUCCCCUGCGGGUGCCGCUGCCUCCUCGGACCAGCCACCAUGUCGGCCUUCCCGCUCUGACCAAAUCGUCACCGGCCACAGCAGCCGCCACCGGAACCACGGCCAGCCACGUCGUCUGACCAGCCUUGGCUUCGUCGGCGCCACCACACCCUUCAAGAGAGAGCAGCGGUUUCACAUCCUCCGCCACCACACGCACACCGUCGUCAACCUGCUUGGCCAGCCACCGUGACAGAGUCCCCCUACUCCGUCCAAGGCGCCGCCAGCGACCAAACUACCGGAGCUACCGCCAGCUUAGACGCGAAAUCCCCCUUUCCGCUUUCUCGCGUGAGAACAGGGAAGCGUAGUGCUUCCUUCCUUCAACCGGCCACCACCGCGAGCCGCCGUCGUCACAAAAACAACGACCCUUCGUCGGACCAACACUGAGAAACCACCGCACCUCCGGAAGUCCACGCGUACUCCAGUCGGCGCAGCCACAGCGAUCACCACGUUAUAGGCCAUGAAUCACUUGGUUUCAAGGAGGAUUUGGCAUAUAGAGUGCCGUUGUUGAAUUUCUUAGUUUUUGAUUGCCUUACAGCUUUGUAGUGUGUUUUCUAGGCAUUUCUGGAUGUAAGUAAAGAGGGUAUUGGGGUCCUGCUGUUGGAGAUAUAUAUGCCUAUGUUCCAUUGUCAAUUAAAUACGAUAGAUUUUGUA